GAGAGAGAGAGAGAGAGAGAAAGAAUUCAGUAGAUUUCCUAUUUAGUUGAUGCAAAAUUGGUAUGUGUUGUUCACAGUAAAUUGGGUAGUUAAUACCGUCUCUAUUGACUGUGAGAUAUUUCUUAAUUGUUAGUUGCUCAAUUAAGUAGUUAACUGGUUGAAAACUUGGCUAUUUCUUCAAUUGGUGUCAUUUGGUCGAUUAAUUUAUUAAACAGUUAUUUGAUCCGUUAGUUGAUCGAUUUAAAUAUGAUCAGACUAAUUGACCUGUUUGAUUGGCAAAUUUAUUAAAUGAUUAAUUGAUGGGCAAAUUGAUUCAAUAAUGGAGUAAUUGAUUUAUUAAACAAUUGAUUAGUUUGAGUGACUAGGUUAUUGGCUAAUCAGCUGACUAAUUGACUAGUUUUUGUGACUAGGAUAUUGGUUGAUUGACCUGGUUGACUGAGGUUGAUUGACCUGGUUGAUUGAAGUUGAUUGGCCUGGUUGAUUGAAGUUGAUUGACCUGGUUGACUGAGGUUGAUUGGCCUUUUUGAUUGAAGUUGAUUGACCUGGUUGAUUGAGGUUGAUUGACCUGGUUGAAUGACCUGGUUGAUUGAGGUUGAUUGACCUGGUUGAUUGAGAUUGAUUGACCUAAUUGAUUGGUUAUUGAAGCUGAUUGACUAGUUAUUUGACGCAAAACAUUUAGUGACGGGAGAUAAUAACAAAAUAUAAGACCUCCCUGGACAAAAGUAGAUGUUUUACACCUUAGUUCCGGAUGUCUCAGAUCGUCUGUCUGUCACCUGCUAGACGAACGCCCGUGGGAGCAUGAAGUGUGCCAGUAUGAGGUGUGGGCUAAACAUGGGGUGUUUUGUAAGAAGAGGGGAGGGAGGGGAGAGAUUGAUGUCUGUUAGAUAUGAGUUUUCUCUCAUGAUACACUGUUAUUUGUGGACACGGGUUGUGGUUGUUAGUUUAAGUAGUUUUACAGUGUGUGUGUGUGUGUGUGUGUGUGUGUGUGUGUGUGUGUGUGUGUGUGUGUGUGUGUGUGUGUGUGCGCACGCGGGGUUUUCCUGAUCCGGAUUCACAAUGUAGGGAAGCAUCAAAGGGGAAUAAUAUUACUCUGCCAUCUUAGCUCGGUCGUCAUGACUAUCUCCCAUUCUCUAAAAAGCCCAACACCGACAAACUAUCCCUUGAGCACUCGCGAGCAGAGCCUCCUUCCACCUCCCUCCCAGCAUGUGCCAUAAUGUGAAAGCAAGACGGGGUUCUCCAGUCGUGUUGACGUUCCUGAGAGGCAUCCGGAUUCUGCGAGAAUGUUUACAGUCGUAGGGAGUGACCACGACAACAGAAAGUCACUUUUAGAUACGAAUCUGUGUGUGUGUGUGUCUGUUUCUCUCUCUCUCUCUCUCUCUCUCUCUCUCUCUCUCUCUCUCUCUCUCUCUCUCUCUCUCUCUCUCUCUCUCUCUCUCUCUCUCUCUCUCUCUCUCUCUCUCUCUCCGUUAUGCUCUCCCGUCACAGGCAUAUUUCUAUGCAUUUCUAAACUGCAUAGAAAUAGCUCGUUUUCUUCAGUCAAGGAUAUGACCACGGUAUACAAAGUUUGUGCUGCUUGCAUAGUGCAGACUCUGUAACUCCACAGUGUGGACAUGCACUCUGUAACUCCUCUUCUUUUCGCGUCUAAUUCCUUUUAUCUCCUUAACACCUUCAAAUUAAAAAUAUAAUAUACAAAAAAAUAUCAAAUUA